UCGAGAAUCUUCGGCAAUGGACGAAAGUCUGACCGAGCGACGCCGCGUGCGGGAUGAAGGCCCUCGGGUUGUAAACCGCUGUCAGUUUGGAGGAAGGGAGUGUGCAGAGCACUUCUUGACCGAUAUUCAGAGGAAGGACGGGCUAAGUUCGUGCCAGCAGCCGCGGUAAGACGAACCGUCCAAACGUUAUUCGGUAUCACUGGGCUUAAAGCGUGCGUAGGCGGCCUGGAAGGUGUGAUGUGAAAGCCCACAGCUCAACUGUGGAAUUGCAUUGCAAACCGUCAGGCUUGAGGAAGACAGGGGUGUUGGGAACUUAUGGUGGAGCGGUGAAAUGCGUUGAUAUCAUAGGGAACACCGGUGGCGAAGGCGCAACACUGGGUCUUUUCUGACGCUGAGGCACGAAAGCUAGGGUAGCGAACGGGAUUAGAUACCCCCGUAGUCC
rnacentral:rRNA from 1 species